AUGUUUCCAUUCUCUCCUGGUUAUGACCAUAGAGCCUUGUCCCAGUCUCUAGACCUGCCUGUCUGUGUGAUGGAUGACCACCUGACCUCUGAAGCUGUCAAUGAGAUGGAGCAGAGCAAUUGUACCAGGAGCAGAGCAACCUCAGUGAUGGAAACCACAGAAGAGGGGAAGCUCAACAAUGUGGAACAUCUGACACUUAUGGACUUCCUUCAAAACCUAACUGAGAAGCAAUGGAAGGGGAUUCGUGAGGGCAUGUUUGACCCGCUGACAAAACAACAGCUUGCCGGCUUGUGUCUGAGGAUUGUCCAGUUUUUAUCGGACAAGCUGAUGCAGAUCAUCAUCCCAGGUCUUUACGAACUACUGGGCAUCCAAGAUGCUGCCUCCUCUCCAUUGUCACAGAGAUCUCUCACAGCGUCACUCACCAGUCUGUUAGACGAUAAGGUUAACACCAAGUCCCACGUGAGAUUUACUGAGGCUGGUGUAUCUAAGAGGCCAGGCAGUCGAAAGUCUUACAAUAGCUUUCGCAUCCCGACUCCCUACCCUUCCUCCAACUGUAUGGAUCAGGAAGAGGAAGAAGAGCAGGAAUCACA
rnacentral:lncRNA from 13 species